UACGAGGGGGGCUAGCGUUGCUCGGAAUCACUGGGCGUAAAGCGCACGUAGGCGGAUUGCUAAGUCAGGGGUGAAAUCCUGGAGCUCAACUCCAGAACUGCCUUUGAUACUGGCGAUCUCGAGUCCGGGAGAGGUGGGUGGAACUGCGAGUGUAGAGGUGAAAUUCGUAGAUAUUCGCAAGAACACCAGUGGCGAAGGCGGCUCACUGGCCCGGUACUGACGCUGAGGAGCGAAAGCGUGGGGAGCGAACAGG
rnacentral:rRNA from 1 species